AGAGAACAGUCUUAAAUGGAAUCUAUCACCAGUUUUAUGGUGUCCCAACUAAGGGCAACACAAACUAGUGACAGGUCCCCUUAGCAAAAUGCUGGGUCACUUUCUUUAACUGACCCAGCCAUUUUGCUAAAAUCUUAAACAGCUCCAGCG